UUCCUCAACCUCUCUAGUCUCUACCUCUCCCAUUCCUUCGAACAGAGAGUUACGAAACUCUCUAAGCUGGCCACUGCUCAGCGGCUCCGAUCGACACCGAAACGACGAAGGGGUUCGAAUAACCAACCGAACCGACCCUAAAGAAACCUUCCCUCUAAUACUCUUUCUUUUCAUUCUUGACCGAGACCCCAAAAUAAACGAAACCCCAGCAAAUCGGCGCGAGCCACUGCAUGCUUUCCACCUAUGUUCUAUACCUCAAAUCGGACUCCCAAUAUAACGCCGAUCUCCUAAAAACCUAACAGACUCUCGACGUUUCUCUUGGAGGAUGAUCUCCAUCUUCCACCUUCAUAACUUCGAUGGCUACAAACGCUGGAUACGACGGCUCCUUACUACAGACAAGGCCACUAAUGGUGAAGCCCUUAAGACCUAGAAUGGCGAUGAAAUGGAGUCAACACGACUCCAUCUGAGUUCGCACAACACAGUGUGUUAUACACCCAAUACCUCAGUGGAGUAAUGGUGUCGCUUGGUUGGCACGGGUAUGAUCAUGGGAAACAUCUGCUAGUGGUAAGGUAAUGGGUUAUAGAGCUGCUUGGUUGGCAUGAGUAUGAUCAUGGGAGACAUCUACUAGUGGCAAGGUGAUGUGGAGCAGGGCAUGGGUCUUGCUCAAUUGUGGUGCUUCACAUGGGAGAGGAAAUGGCACGUGUAUGGGCAGCGUAGGAAUGUCUUCAUGUCGGCAGCAUGGGCUGCUGCAACCGGGUCCGGGUCGGGUUGUAACCGGGUCAGACUUGGGCUCCUUUUGGACUCCUGUUGGGUAAAUUAUUUGUAAUAUUGUUUGGGCUUGUAAGAUGU